UUCAGAUCCAACACUUCUGUAAGGGCUGAUUUGGUAUUUUGAUCUCGACUGUCGAGGAAGAAACCUUUAAUAAUUGAAAAAUAUUAGCUAUUUUGACAGUCAGUGUGGGAUUCCAUUAGAGAAGAUUCGUAUGAAUUCUUCCUACUAUCAUUCAAGAGUGAAAAAGUUAAGUAUAAUCUCUUAUUAGUUUUAUAUAUUUGAACAAAACCUAUUUACUCUGCAGUUUAUAAUAUGCCAAAUAAUUGAGCUAAUGAAUGUUUUAAUUUUGACAUCAGGCAAUCAUUCAAGAAAUAUUGAACGGAGCAGCACUGCAUCACAAAUCUGUUGUUGAACUUGAAGAUGUCAUAACUUCUUAUCAAGCGCAAUUGCAAUGCAAUCUUGCUCUUUCCCGGUUCCAAUUCCUUGAUGACGCCGAACAAAGGAGCCAUUUCAACGUAAAAUGAAAAAAUGAGAAUGAUUUUUGUGGAGAUCGAUUUUUUGGCUAUGGAAUUCGUAUUGUGAUAGGUAGAAUUCGUAUUGUGAUAGUUUGUGAGGUUAUAUUUAUAGAUGGUGGAAAUUAUUUAUUUUGUUUUAAAAAAUUAUGGAGUAACUGCUGCAGUUAUGGAUAUGAUUUAACUAAAUAACUGUAAUAGAUUUGUAAAUUGUGUAAAUUAUUUAUUUUGUUUUAAAAUUCGUUGAUUAAGACAGUUAUGGUUGGAA